rnacentral:rRNA from 1 species
GAAUGCAGCUCAAAAUGGGUGGUAAAUUCCAUCUAAAGCUAAAUAUUGGCGAGAGACCGAUAGCGAACAAGUACCGUGAGGGAAAGAUGAAAAGAACUUUGGAAAGAGAGUUAAACAGUACGUGAAAUUGUUGAAAGGGAAACGCUUGAAGUCAGUCGCGUUGGCCAGGGAUCAACCCCUUGGGGUGUACUUUCUGGUUUUACGGGUCAACAUCAGUUUUGAUUGUUGGAUAAAGGUUUAGGGAAUGUGGCAUCUUCGGAUGUGUUAUAGCCCUUGGCCAUAUACAACAGUUGGGACUGAGGAACUCAGCAUGCUCGAAAGAGUCGGGUUAGCUUUGGUUAACUACGUUUACAUGCUUAGGAUGUUGGCAUAAUGGCUUUAAUCGACCCGUCUUGAAACACGGACCAAGGAGUCUAACAUGCCUGCGAGUAUUUGGGUGGAAAACUCGAAUGCGCAAUGAAAGUGAUAGUUGAGAUCCCUGUCGCGGGGAGCAUCGACGCCCGGACCAGACGGUUUAUUCCUGACGGUCCCGCGGUAGAGCAUGUAUGUUGGGACCCGAAAGAUGGUGAACU